rnacentral:rRNA from 1 species
AUUGAACGCUGGCGGAAUGCUUUACACAUGCAAGUCGAACGGCAGCACGGGGGCAACCCUGGUGGCGAGUGGCGAACGGGUGAGUAAUACAUCGGAACGUGCCCAGUCGUGGGGGAUAACUACGCGAAAGCGUAGCUAAUACCGCAUACGAACUCUGGUUGAAAGCGGGGGAUCGCAAGACCUCGCGCGAUUGGAGCGGCCGAUGGCAGAUUAGGUAGUUGGUGAGGUAAAGGCUCACCAAGCCGACGAUCUGUAGCUGGUCUGAGAGGACGACCAGCCACACUGGGACUGAGACACGGCCCAGACUCCUACGGGAGGCAGCAGUGGGGAAUUUUGGACAAUGGGCGCAAGCCUGAUCCAGCCAUUCCGCGUGCAGGAUGAAGGCCCUCGGGUUGUAAACUGCUUUUGUACGGAACGAAACGGUCCUGGUUAAUACCCGGGGAUAAUGACGGUACCGUAAGAAUAAGCACCGGCUAACUACGUG